rnacentral:rRNA from 1 species
UACGGAGGGUGCAAGCGUUAUCCGGAUUCACUGGGUUUAAAGGGUGCGUAGGCGGGCAGGUAAGUCAGUGGUGAAAUCUCCGAGCUUAACUCGGAAACUGCCGUUGAUACUACUUGUCUUGAAUAUUUGUGGAGGUAAGCGGAAUAUGUCAUGUAGCGGUGAAAUGCUUAGAUAUGACAUAGAACACCAAUUGCGAAGGCAGCUCACUAAGCAGCGAUUGACGCUGAGGCACGAAAGCGUGGGGAGCGAACAGG